rnacentral:rRNA from 1 species
UACAUAGGGUGCGAGCGUUAAUCGGAAUUACUGGGCGUAAAGCGUGCGCAGGCGGUUCGUUAUGUCCGUUGUGAAAGCCCCGGGCUCAACCUGGGAAUGGCAAUGGAAACUGGCGGGCUAGAGUGUGGCAGAGGGGGGUGGAAUUCCGCGUGUAGCAGUGAAAUGCGUAGAGAUGCGGAGGAACACCGAUGGCGAAGGCAGCCCCCUGGACUAGCACUGACGCUCAGGCACGAAAGCGUGGGGAGCAAACAGG